CUAACACAUGCAAGUCGAGCGGUAACACAAGGGAGCUUGCUCCUGAGGUGACGAGCGGCGGACGGGUGAGUAAUGCCUAGGUAUCUGCCCAGUCGAGGGGGAUAACAGUUGGAAACGACUGCUAAUACCGCAUACGCCCUACGGGGGAAAGGAGGGGACCUUCGGGCCUUCCGCGAUUGGAUGAACCUAGGUGGGAUUAGCUAGUUGGUGGGGUAAUGGCUCACCAAGGCGACGAUCCCUAGCUGGUCUGAGAGGAUGAUCAGCCACACUGGAACUGAGACACGGUCCAGACUCCUACGGGAGGCAGCAGUGGGGAAUAUUGCACAAUGGGCGAAAGCCUGAUGCAGCCAUGCCGCGUGUGUGAAGAAGGCCUUCGGGUUGUAAAGCACUUUCAGCGAGGAGGAAAGCUCAAGCGUUAAUAGCGUUUGGGUGUGACGUUACUCGCAGAAGAAGCACCGGCUAACUUCGUGCCAGCAGCCGCGGUAAUACGAGGGGUGCAAGCGUUAAUCGGAAUUACUGGGCGUAAAGCGUACGCAGGCGGUUUGUUAAGCAAGAUGUGAAAGCCCCGGGCUCAACCUGGGAACUGCAUUUUGAACUGGCAAACUAGAGUCUUGUAG
rnacentral:rRNA from 1 species